rnacentral:lncRNA from 1 species
UAAUUUUUACACUUCCCUUUCCACAUGGUAUUUAAAAACAUUAGAAUGUGCAUCAGGCAGAAUGACCACAGAAUAUUUAUAUUUCAAGGCUCUAUGUUACAGACAAUAAAUCUAUCCAUAUUUGAAAACUUUUUUAGUUAUAUGCUAUAAGAUGGUUCUUUUAUAUUACAUUGAGUGCAGUCAUGCUAAUUCUUUUAUAUUCAGUAUCCACCCCUAGUGCUCAAACUCAAAGUUAUGUUUAUAGAGUCUCAGAACACUUAGAAACAAAAAAGAUCUAAGUUUUCAUCUGUUCUGUUAUUCCAUUUAUUAAGUGAUUUUUUUCUCCUAGAUCACACAGUGAACUGCUGAUAUCAUUAUGAUCAAAAUCCAAAUAUCCUAAUAAAUCAAACUGUUUAUUUUCCUGAUCAUACAUUUGGCUUAGUCAAAACAUUUUUAAUUCUACUAUUUUUGAAAUGGGAAGAUUUUGAGACAGAUAUGAAUGAUCAUAUUACUUUAUAUAAUCUUAAAUUAUCUUCCUAUUCAGUUGGGAUUAAAAUUUCCCUUAUUUAUUUAUGAUCCCUACUUCCAAAAGGUUUCAAGAUAUUCUGCAUAAUUAAAUAUGAUACAUAAUAAGCAUAUUUCCUCAACAUAUUGCUUCUAUAAAUAAGGUGAUAAUAAUAAAGAAGGAAUCUUAGAGAAUUUGAGUUUGAGAUUCAAAAUAACUUUUCACCUAAAUAUGACCAGGUUCUAUUUCAUAAAAAAAUGAAAAAUAAGCUUUCAGCUUACAGGAAGAAGAAAGCUAAUUGAUACCUCAAGAAACAUAAUCUUCCAAAGUCUAGGUAGACAAAAGCAUGCAUAUUGCCUUCAAUUCUCAACGCAAAGUCAUUCUCUUUUCUUAGGCCAAAAAUUACUGGAUCUGACAGGUAAAUGGGUUUCAGAUCAAGAGUUACAAGGAUCUUCCCCUCUCUGGUCUAUAUGCAAGCGUAGGAACCAGGGAAAGAGGUUCUGAAUAUGACAGAUCCUGGCAUUGGGGGAUCCUCUGACCAUGCCCCCCCCCCCCAAGAAAACUGGGCAGUUUGAAUGGGAAUGGUUUUCUUACUUUGCCAAUACAUUAAAUAUAUAAAGCCAAACUAUUAAAAAUGUAAGAAAGUCAUCAUUGUAAGCAACAUGAGGAAAGUUAGCUAUUCCUCUACCAAUUGAUAAGAAGAAAAAUCAAAUAUUUAUCUUGCCUUUUCUGAACAAAACAAAUAGGCUUCAAAUAUGCACAUAAUCAAAUAGAUGAUGAGAAAAGGUCAUCAUAGAAGAAGUCAGGCUAACAAAUGCAGAAGUAAUGCUACAUUUAGAAAAUCACCAUUUUGCAACUCCUAAUGAAAUAAUGGAGCUAGGCAAUGAUCAUUAAUUAAUUAUAAAACAUUAGGUGAAAAGUUAAUGGGAAUCAUUAUAAAGAAUGGCUCAGAUUGACAUCCUCUGAACACAGAGAUCAAUCAUAGUUUCUCUGAAAGCAGAGCAACCAGAUAUGGUAUGCCUCCUGGUGUGAUGCAAUAGCGAAUACAUAGUCCCCCAAUGAAGUACUCUUGGAAAAAUAAGAUGAGGACUCGAAUCUAACCAAACCUUUAGAUAUAAUUAUCUGUAGACAGAAUAUCUGGGUCAGUUAGGAAGGGUUACUUCAAGAGAAAAUCUACAGGCAAUAGAAAAUGUGGGGCAUUCCACAAAUAACUGACAAAAAUUAUUUUCAACAAAUUAACAACAAGAUAAAAAUGUAAAUAGAGAUUUAUGCAAGGGAUGGACUUGUUUGAAUACAGUUUGUAAAAAAAAAAAUCAACGAUAAAAAUAAAUUUCUUGGGAUCCCUGGUGGCUCAGCGGUUUAGAACCUGCCUUCCACCCAACGUGUGACCCUGAGUCCUGGGAUUGGGUCCCACAUCAGGUUCCCUGCAUGGAGCCUGCUUCUCCCUCUGCCUGUGUCUCUGCUUCUCUCUCUCUCUGUGUGUCUCUAAUGAAUAAAUAAAUAAAAUCUUAAAAAAAAUAAAAAUAAAUAAAUUUCUUUCUUUAGACAAUCAGGAAAGUGGUUAGAACCUGAAUAUUAGAUGACAUAUAAUAAUUGCUGUUAAUUUUUUAGUUUAGUGAUAGCAUUUUGGUAUGUAUUUAUGUAUGUGAAUGUAUAAAUGCACACAUAUACCAUUAUGCAUUUAUACUGAAGUACCUAUAGAUAAAAUGACAUGAUAUGAUAUGUUUAAAAUGGUACUCACAUGCAAAAAAUUGGAACAGGAGAUGUGUAAGGCUGAUAAAGUGUUGAUUAUCAUUGAAGAUGGGGGAACAUGGAGAUUUAUUAUAAUAUGUUCUCAAUUUUGGGGUAUGUUUGAAAAUUUCUAAAUAGAAAGAUCUUCAUUCAAAUAACCUUUAUAUAAAAGCAAUUAUAGUGGCAGAUUGCAAUAUAUCAUCCUUCCUUAAAAUCUGGAUAGAUCUGUUAGAUAAAGAAGGAAAAAUAGUGAAAUUGAAUAAGGGAAUUUACAUUCUAUAUUUACUACAUACAUAUAUAGAAAACCUCACGAUAAAUAAUGAAGUUUCCAAUAAUCUUAAUAUUUUCAAAAAGUUGAGACUUUACAACAUUCUUUGAUCAUUUGUAUUUUAUUCAAAAUUUAAAAAAAAACCUAAAUACUUACAGAAACUUGAAUAGAAACUGCAUAUUUAAUGACAUUUCUAUUUCACUGAUAUUAAAUUUCUUGGAUAUGAUGAUGCUAUUUUGGUUAUGUACAAGAAAGCCUUAGUUCUUAAAAGAUGCCUCCUGAAAAUUUUUGGGAUAAAGUAAAUGCACUUUAUCACGGCAAUUUAAUUUGAAAUAAUUCAGCCAGAACAUUCCAUACCUACAACACACACACACACACAUUCAUACACACACACACACACACACACACACACACACGGAUGAAGACAGAGAGGUGAGUAGAAACUCAGAUUUUGUAAAAUGUUAAAAACUGGUAAGUCUGGAUCAAGGAUAUACAUGUGUUAUACUGUUCUUUCAACUUUUUUAUAGGUCUGAAGCUUAUCAUUAUAGAGGUUUGGGGAGAAACAAUUAAGAAAAUAAAAAGUUGAUAAACAAAUUUUUACAAGUUUAAAAGUUAAAUGCAUUAAUUUGAUCUCUUGGAUCAAAUAAAAUAUUAAAUUACAUUCACAAGCCCAGGGAACAUUUCAUACAAGGCAGGAAUUGACUUGAUCUUUAAGGUCUUUUUUUAAAAAUAGGAACAGAUGAGUACAAAUAUUCCAAAACAAUAAUCAUUAAAAUAAAAGCUGAUGUUUAAUGGCCAUUUAUGAUUGCCAGGCAAUGAGCUACACAUUCUCCAUUUGUUAUCUCAUUUCAUUCUCAUGACAAAUUCAUGAGAAAGUACCAUUAUCCUCUAAAUUUACAGUGGUCCCACAGGCUGGAAAGUGGUGGGGUCAAGUUUGUUCCCCUUUGCUACCAUGCACAGCAUAAUUAUUCCUCACUUUUAUCUUGCCCUAGCCCAUCAGAGCUGGCAGUCACCAUGAUUCCAUAAAUGAAAUGUCUAUUUUAGCAUAAUGAUUCAACAAAUGUAAAAAACAAAUUCAAAUUGAUUAAAGACCUAAAUCUGAUAUCUGAAACCAUAAAAAACCCUAGAAGAGGAAACAGGCAGUAACUUCUUUGACAUUGGCCAUAGCAACUUCUUUCUAGAUAUAUUCCUGAGGCAAAGGAAACAAAAUUUAAAAAAUAAAUUUUUGGGACUACAUAAAAAUAAAAAGUUUCUGCACUAUGAAGGGAACUAGCAAAACUAAUAGGCAGCCUUCAGAAUGGAAGAAAAGUAAUUGCAAAUGACAUAUCUGAUAAAGGGUUACUAUCCAAAAUAUAUAAAGAAUUUAUAAAACUCUAUACCUAAAAAUGAAUAAUUGAAUUGAAAAUGGUCAGAAGACAUGAAUAGACCUUUUUCCAAAGAGGACAUCCAGAUGGUCAACAGACACAUGAGAAGAUGCUCAGGAUCACUCAUCAUCAGGGAAAUACAAAUCAACAGUACAAUGAGAUACCACCUCACACCUGUCAGAAUGGAUACAAUCAACAACAUAAGAAACAGCAGAUGUUGGGUGUUGGGGAGGAUGUUGGUGUGAAGGCAAAGUGGUGCAGCCACUCUGGAAUACACUAUGGAGUUUCCUCAAAAAAUUAAAAAGAGAACUACUCUAUGAUCCAGCAAUAGCACUACUAGGUAUUUACCCAAAGUAUACAGAAAUACUAAUUCAAAGAGAUAUAUGCACCCUGGUGUUUAUAGCAGCAUUAACUAUAAUAGCCAAAUUAUGGAAAUUGCCCAAGUAUCUAUUGACUGAUGAAUGGAUAAAAAAGAGGUGGACUAUUACUUAGACACUAAAAAGACUGAAAUCUUGUUGUUUGCAAUGACAUGGAUGGAACUAGAGAGUAUUAUGCUAAGCAAAAUAAGAGUCAGAGAAAGACAAAUACCAUCUGAUGUUACUCAUAUGUGGAAUUUAAGAAACAAAACAAAUUAGAAAAGAGAAAAAAGAGAGAGAGAGAGAGAGAGACAAACCAGACUCUUAACUAUAGAGAGCAAAGGGAUGGUUACCAGAGGAAAAGUAGGUGUGUAUGUGUGUGUGUGGAGGGGGGUGGUGUUUGGUAAUGGAAAUAGGUGAUGGGGAUUAAGGAGUACAUUUUUUUGUGAUGGGGCAUCACGUGAUGUAUGGAAGUGCUGAAUCACUAUUAUUAUACACCUAAAACUUAUAUUACACUGUAUGCUAACUAGCUGGAAUUUGAAUAAUUUUUUUUAAAAAAGAGUAUAGACUCAGAGGCAGUCAGCCUGCAAAUUAAAUUCCUGUUCCAAUACUUUCUAGUUGUGGUGUCUUGGUGAAGUGUUUUGCUCUCACUGUUCUUAAUUAUCCUCAACAAUAAAGUGUAGAUGGUACAGCUUCACAAGCCAAGAAGAUGACUUGAGAUAGGUGCAUUUAAAGAACAUAGUACAGAGCCUGGUACAUAGAAAGUUCAGUAAUCUCCUUUAUAUUUGGGGGAUACAUUCCAAUACCCCCAGUGGAUACCUGAAGCUGAAGGUAGUACCAAAUCCUGUAUAUACUGUUUUUUCCUACACAUACAUACCUAUGAUAGUUUAAUUUAUAAAUUAGAUAAUAAAUUAACAAUAAUAAAAUAGAAAAAAUUAACAACAUACUGUUAUUCACAUAAAAGUUAUGUUGAAUGUGGUCUCUCUUUCAAAAUAUCUUAUUGUGCUGUAUUCACACUUCUUGUGAUCACAUGAGAUGAUAAAAUGCCUAUGGAUGAGACGAAGUGGGUGAAUGACAGGCAUGGCGGCAGAGAGGCUACUACAGACCUGAUGAUUAAUCAGGAAGGAGGAUCAUUUGAUUCUGGACUGCAGGUGACAGCAAGGAUCUGAAACUGGGGACAUGGGAGACCACUGUAUCCAGUAAAUGUUAUAUAUCAUUAUAGUGGAGGACAUUCUUUACUGCAGCAGUUUCAGAGGAUUUUGAUAAAAGCAACAAUGUUCCAUAAUAAAAAGCUUGAAGCAGAAAUAGGGGACAGGGAGAUACUGAAAGUAGCAAUAUUUAUCAAUUAACUAGCAGACUGUCUGAAUUCAAUUACAUUCUCAAGCAAAAUGCCUGCUUAGUAUUACGUAUAAGCUUAUUAAAUUCAGUUAUUUGACAAAUGUUUAACAAUGAACAUCUAAGCACUUUAAAGAUUUAGAUCGAUAUUUUACUCAUUUAAAAAACAGCAGUAAAAUAAGCAGAAUGUUUAAACUUAAACUUGAGCCACUAAUUAAAAAAAAAUCCAAGAUUAUUCCAUGAAGUGAGCACAUUGCACCAAUUCUCCUACCAUAGCAGAGGAAGAUCAACAGAAGAAAUGCCAUCAAAGAAAAGUUCACCAUGGCUGUGUUGUAACAUUCACUACUGUAUUUAACAUGAAAGAUAAACUGCUCUAACCUGUCAUGUAAAGAAAAGCACCCAUUCUCUUUGGAGCUUUCUGCCAUCUAUGCUGCCAGCACCAGCUUUGGGUGGCUUAUCUGCACCUUUGCUUCCUAUUUUAUCAAAAGAAUAAUUAAGAAAUGAAAUAAUCCUUAAAGCACAAAGUACGGUCAAUAUAUUUCCCAUUCACUUACAAAAAAAGUAAUUAUCCAGAAAGUCAUAAGCUCUAGCUAAAACCUGGAUCUUACUAUCUUUUUUUUGCAAAAGGCAAGUUAAUAAGAAGUAAAGUAACAAAGACUCUCUGGGUAAUUUACCGCAGAUUCUAAAGAAGAGAGCACAAAAUUGAAGUUAACAGAAA